CCUAAGGAAUGCAAGUCGUACGGAAAGGCCCUCUUCGGGGGGGGCAAGAGUGGCGCACGGGUGAGUAACGCGUGGGUAAUCUGCCUUAGGGUCUAGGGAAACCCCGGGAAACUGGGGCUAACAGAUGGAUAAGACCACGAGCUCUUCGGAGCUUGCGGGAAAAGAUGGCCUCUCCUUGGAAGCUAUCGCCCUUCGAUGAGCCCGCGUCCACGGGAGCUAGUUGGUGAGGUGACGGCUCACCAAGGCUUUGAUGGGUAGCUGGUCUUAUACGGAUGAUCAGCCACACUGGAACUGAGGAACGGUCCGGAGCCUACGGGAGGCAGCAGUCGGGAAUUUUGGGCAAUGGGCGAAAGCCUGACCCAGCAACGCCGCGUGAGGGAUGAAGGCCCUCGGGUCGUAAACCUCUGUCGGGAGGGAAGAACGGUUUCCGUUCGAACAGGGCGGAAGCCUGACGGUACCUCCAAAGGAAGCACCGGCUAACUCCGUGCCAGCAGCCGCGGUAACAGAGGAGGGUGCAAGCGUUGUUCGGAAUACGGGGGGCGUAAAGCGCGUGUAGGCGGCUUGGCAAGUCGGUUGUGAAAGCCCGGGGCAAGAGGACCCGGAAUUGCAUCUGAAACUGCCUCGCUAGAGUCCCGUAUACGGAAGGCAGAAUUCCCGGUGUAGGGGUGAAAUCCGUAGAUAUCGGGAGGAACAGGAAGCGGCGAAGGCGGCCUUCUGGACGGUGACUGACGCUUAUACCGCGAAAGCGUGGGGAGCAAACAGGAUUAGGAA
rnacentral:rRNA from 1 species